ACAGAGGUCUCAAGCGUUGUUCGGAUUCAUUGGGCGUAAAGGGUGCGCAGGCGGCGUGGAAAGUUGAGUGUGAAAUCCUGGGGCUCAACCUCAGAACUGCACUCAAUACUCCCAUGCUAGAGGAAUGUAGAGGAGAGUGGAAUUCACGGUGUAGCAGUGAAAUGCGUAGAUAUCGUGAGGAAGACCAGUUGCGAAGGCGACUCUCUGGGCAUUUCCUGACGCUCAUGCACGAAGGCCAGGGGAGCAAACGGGAUUAGAUACCCCGGUAGUCCUGGCAGUAAACGGUGCACGUUUGGUGUGGGCGGGCUCAGACCCCGUCCGUGCCGGAGCUAACGCGUUAAACGUGCCGCCUGGGAAGUACGGUCGCAAGAUUA
rnacentral:rRNA from 1 species